AACAGAACUUUCCACAGUAUCCUGAUGUCAAUGCGAGUGUGUUCCCUGCAUUUUCAUUCUGGAAAACCAGCAAAUGAAAUGUACACCUCGCAUCCGGAUUGGGCACCAUCACUACACUUGGGCCACACUGAGAUAAAGGCCACACAGACUGCACGCUAUGAGAGACAGGAAAAGAGAAAACGGCAAAGGACUGACAGUACACCUGCGAGGAUGAGACAGCUAUUGAUGACCUUGUUCCACCCGUGGAGACACCAGCACCAGCUGAGGAUGGAGCUGAGCAGACACCGCCG